CGCAGACUUUAUUUAGGUAUUGGAUCCUCGAAUGGACUUCUAUGCCAUGUAACUAGCGUAGCCAUGUAACUAGCGUAGCCAUGUAACUAGCGUAGCCAUGUAACUAGAGUAGCCAUGUAACUAGCGUAACCAAGUAACUAGCGUAGCCAUGUAACUAGCGUAACCAUGUAACUAGCGUAGCCAUGUAACUAGCGUAACCAUGUAACUAGAACUAGCUGUAGUCAGUAAACAUCUUCAGGUGCAGUAAUACUGCACAUCAGAGCAUUCAACUGUUUUCAGACAAAGAAACCAGAAAAAUCUGAGUUUCUACAAUGGACCAUGAGGACAAACCCAGCCUGCUGCUCUCCUUCCACACUGAGCCCAAACCUACAGAUUUAUCAAACUCUUAAUCGGUCUCUGCUGAGCAGCCCAGUAGCACCAACUCUAGUGAGCUGUCUAAGCCAGUCGUGCCUGUUCCAAGCCUACUCAAACGGCCUGAUUGCAGCCAAGCUCUUGCCUCGGGGAAACCUGGGCACAGGAAAAGACCCUGUGCAUCCACUGGUCAGUAUACACUACAACUUACUACAAUAGUCAUUCAUGUUUCGUUGGUUAUGCCACACAAGGAAAGACUUGGAAGACAGCACUCUCAUUCAUCACCUCAGGUUAAGCA